rnacentral:rRNA from 1 species
CAGCAGCCGCGGGAAUACGUAGGGUGCGAGCGUUAAUCGGAAUUACUGGGCGUAAAGCGUGCGCAGGCGGUUAUAUAAGACAGAUGUGAAAUCCCCGGGCUCAACCUGGGACCUGCAUUUGUGACUGUAUAGCUAGAGUACGGUAGAGGGGGAUGGAAUUCCGCGUGUAGCAGUGAAAUGCGUAGAUAUGCGGAGGAACACCGAUGGCGAAGGCAAUCCCCUGGACCUGUACUGACGCUCAUGCACGAAAGCGUGGGGAGCAAACAGGAUUAGAUACCCGGGUAGUCCCUGUCUCUUAUAU